CUCUCCUCCCUCCCCCCAGCUCUCCCUCCAGGUUUUUCCCCCGCCCCAAGAAAAAUUAGGUAAAGAAAAUGUUACAGGCUUAGUGGAGGUGGGGAUAGGCCAGAAAAAUAUGGAACGGUUUUUUUUUUUCAGGAAAGGGGGAAUGAGACGUGCCAAAUUUAAGAAGGGAUAUGAAAAACGAGGAUUGGAUUGAAUUGAGAAUGGAGAAGGGAUGCGACAUGCCCAAUUGCACCGGGGGCAUGCAAAUUGCGGACCGGAUUCCACCCUGGAAAACGGAAGACUGCGUCAUGCCCAAUGCAGUGAGAACAAGAAAAAGCCAGGUAAGAGGCUGACUGAAGAUGUCGAAGAAUAGGAAGCUCUUGCUCUUUUGCUUUGGACUCUGCAAGUCCAGGAGAGAAUGAGGACACAGGCACACCUGAAGAUGGAAGAUUAGCCACCAGAAGUGAAGGUCGCUCCUCUUCAUCUGGAGGAGAUCAGGUAAUCAAAGCAGAAGAUGGAAAUUGCUGUGCCCUGGUACAGAUGGAAAUCACCCUUUGUUCCUUUCCCUCAGGGGAUACAUACAGCCGGAGAUGGAAGGCAUGUGGUCAGAAGAAGGUAGGUUCUUCUCAUCUGAGGUACAAUAGGAAGUACAAGUCUCACAGGUACAGGGGGAGAUGAAAAUAGAAUUGACACAGAUGGCAGUCCUCCCUCCUCCACCUUUGUUACCAGAUCUCCCAUUCUUGAUGUUAGAGAUGUAGAUGAAGAUUUUGAAGCUUUAACUUGGGAUCCAGGGCAUAAAAUGUCAUAAAAUCAUCCACCAAAUGGAUCUAUAUUUUAUGAAAGUUCUGAGAUAGGUGGUAUAGGGGAUCCAUUAACGUAAAAGAUGGUUCUACCUUCAAGGAGCUUAUAUCUAGUUGGAAAGAGAAGACCCUCACAUGUCAAAUUUUUUUUUAGUUUACUGCUCAAAUAGUGGCACAGAGAGCAAAAAUUUUAAAAUAAUUAGCUCAACACCCAAUUAGUGGCAGAGACAAUAAAUAAAAAUAAUUACUUCAAUGCCUAAUUAGUGGUAUAGGCAAUAAAUUAAGAAUAAUUAGUUUGAUGCCCAAUUAGUGGUAUGGUUAGUAAAUAAAAAUAAUUAGUUCAAUGACCAAUUAGUGGUAUAGACAGCAAAUAUUAUUAUAUCAGAUCAGAGGAGGGAGUGUUCAUUGGGGGCUGGUGUGGUCAGACAAGGCUUCCUGGAAGAAAUGGAACUUGGUCUGGACAUUAAAAGAUGGAUAUUUGAUCAGCUGUAAAUGGAGAUAGAGGUAGAAAUAGGAAGGAACAUUCAGGGCACAGAGACAGGACCAGGCCAACAGGAGUAGAGGAUUCAAGACACAGAAUAUUUUGAUUCAUCACAGGAUUUGUAAUUUUAGAGUUUCCCCCCAAUGAAAAAGAUUGCCACCCACUGCUGCCUUCUCAUCCUGUUCCCACUUAUAUUCACUUUUAGGUCUUCUUCCUACUGAGGAUUGGCCCAUUGUAAUGGAGGCUGCCUUCUGGGCCUUUUAACAUUUUGAAGGUACCAGAGUAAAACUCAUGCUGUCCAUCUGUUAUUCUGUAUUCCCAUACUCAUAUUUCCUUAGUGAUAUAUCCCUUAUGUCAAUGGGACUAAAUGUGAACAGAUCCCUGUUCCUGGAUAUUGA